CCUACGGGAGGCAGCAGUGGGGAAUAUUGCACAAUGGGGGGAACCCUGAUGCAGCAACGCCGCGUGGGUGAAGAAGUACUUCGGUAUGUAAAGCCCUGUCAGCAGGGAAGAAAAUGACGGUACCUGACCAAGAAGCCCCGGCUAACUACGUGCCAACAGCCGCGGUAAUACGUAGGGGGCAAGCGUUAUCCGGAUUUACUGGGUGUAAAGGGAGCGUAGACGGCAAGGCAAGUCUGGAGUGAAAGCCCGUGGCUCAACCACGGGACUGCUUUGGAAACUGUGUUGCUGGAGUGCAGGAGGGGUAAGCGGAAUUCCUAGUGUAGCGGUGAAAUGCGUAGAUAUAUGGAAGAACACCAGUGGCGAAAGCGGCUCUCUGGUCUGUAACUGACGCUGAGGUUCGAAAGCGUGGGUAGCAAACAGGAUUAGAUACCCGUGUAGUC
rnacentral:rRNA from 1 species